AAGGUUCGAUGUCUCAGAAUGUCUCCUGUCUCCCUUUUGUUUCUUUCAUUUAUUUUAAAUCCUGUUCCUAACGUUGUUCUACUAUGUCUUGACAUACGUGCUAUGAUGUUUUUAUAUUUGAAUGUGAUAUAAAUAAAUACACACUCUUGUACGUACGAAAUUACGUAACACGUACCGCCGUGUUCCAAAUGGAAGCGGGGAGAUACUUUUAUAGCUGUGACAUUUUAACAUGGAGCUAAAGUAAAAAAGUCCACAAGACCGUAAUGAGCAACACGUUACUGGACCAUGGUGAGCGUACAACGAGCAUUAGCUACACGCUAAUGUUAGCGUUUAGCUUGACAGGCGACAGCAUGAACCCUGUCGGCUUCUGUUGACGGAAAUGGUGUCAGAAUAUUGAGAGGCGUGUGAUGGUAUCUGUGCUAACUUGGUCGCUUGUGUCGCCAGGUCCCCCCCCCCUGUCCUCUCUGCAGCUCGUGUCGGCAGCUCUGUGGCAGAUAGUGAAGCAGGGAGCUGUGGUGCACUAUGGUCUGCUGGAGGAGUUCAUCAGCUCAGGAAAAUAUUCCAAACAGUGUUUGGCCCUAAAUAUGACUCCGCUCUGGAAACAAUAGUGUGGAAAUUUCUCUAAAACCUUCAGAAGCUGCUGCCUGUUCCAAACCUUGAACAAAUGUCUCUCUGGCUCAGUCUCUCCCCUUCUGUCUUGAAAGAGUGUGCAGAUUUCAUAAAACAACCUCAGCCUCUGAAUACACUUAUUCAGCAUCACAAACAUCACAGGCAUGAAGUUGCACAAGCUCCGUCCGUCUUCCUCUGGCGAUGACUGCAUACUGUCCAGCCUGUCCUACCACCUACCAAACGCCGUCAAUGACGAAGGAGAUAAAGUUGUCAUAUCUGGAUCCACGUGUUUCACUGAGGACGACCGCGGCGGCAACGCACUUGCAACCGAGUUUAAACAGGAUGAAGAAGAAAGUAAUGUGACGGAUUACCAAGGAGCCUCCGUUGAAGUAAUACUGGAACCUUUUGAUGGAAGUGAGCCUGAUGAUGAUGAAGAUAUGGACAAAAAUUGCUUAAAAACUCACACUAGGACUUCAUCAAGAACCUUCAGGUGUGUUGCUUGUGGGAAACAUUUUGGUUCUGUUGUCAAACUAAAAAUGCACAGGGUCUCUUAUGGCUGUUUGACUAACAGAGGGAGUCGGACAGGUUCUGUGAGCCAAAGUUGGUGGGUGUAAUUUCCAGUCACCUGACAGUGAGACAAGUUCUGAAACAAAGGCAAGUUGAACUGAACUCGGAAGUUCAGUUCAGUCUUCAGAGAAGACUGAAGACUCAGAAAUCAUUCUCUUGAAACGACACUAUGCCAAGUUACAUAAAAUCACAAGCUCGUACCCUUGCGCUUUGUGCAAGAGAACCUUAGUGAGGCUGUGCGAAUUGGUGCGGCGUCAACAGAACAAACCGCUGUAUCAGUGCUCCACCUGUAAGAAAUGUUACUCUAAGCAAGGACUUUUAGAUAAUCACAGGAAAGCGCACACCGACACUGUAACGGCACACGUUUGUGAAACGUGUGGGAAAAGCUUCAAAUCGCUCGCUUAUCUGAUUCCGCACCAGAGCAAGCACAGAGAACAGCAGCCCAGUGUGUGCUCCUCCUGUGGCAAACAGUUCA